AAGUCGUAACAAGGUUUCCGUAGGUGAACCUGCGGAAGGAUCAUUAACGAGUCUGACUUGGGUUGUCGCUGGUCCUCCGGGACAUGUGCACGCUCUAGCUCAUCCACUCACCCCUGUGCACCCCUGUAGUUGUUUAUCUCAAAGGAUGCUUGCGAAGGCUUCACGGCUGGACAUUCUCCCGCGAGUAGACUCUACGUUUUUUAUACACGCAUAAAAGUCUAGAAUGUAAACCUUUGCUAUAAAACGCAUUAAAUACAACUUUCAACAACGGAUCUCUUGGCUCUC
rnacentral:misc_RNA from 1 species